GACGAACGCUGGCGGCGUGCUUAACACAUGCAAGUCGAACGGAAAGGCCCUGCUUUUGUGGGGUGCUCGAGUGGCGAACGGGUGAGUAACACGUGAGUAACCUGCGCUUGACUUUGGGAUAACUUCAGGAAACUGGGGCUAAUACCGGAUAGGAGCUCCUGCUGCAUGGGGGGGGUUGGAGAGUGUCGGCGGUUGGGGAUGGACUCGCGGCUUAUCAGCUUGUUGGUGAGGUAGUGGCUUACCAGGGCUUUGACGGGUAGCCGGCCUGAGAGGGUGACCGGCCACAUUGGGACUGAGAUACGGCCCAGACUCCUACGUGAGGCAGCAGUGGGGAAUAUUGCACGAUGGGCGGAAGCCGGAUGGAGCAACGCCGCGUGCGGGAUGACGGCCUUCGGGUUGUAAACCGCUUUCGCCUGUGACGAAGCGUGAGUGACGGUAAUGGGUAAAGAAGCACCGGCUAACUACGUG
rnacentral:rRNA from 1 species